GUGAGGGCUCUGGGUCACCCUCCCCACCCGUGUUUAUUUUACCUUGUUGCUUCGGCGGGCCCGCCUUAACUGGCCGCCGGGGGGCUUACGCCCCCGGGCCCGCGCCCGCCGAAGACACCCUCGAACUCUGUCUGAAGAUUGUAGUCUGAGUGAAAAUAUAAAUUAUUUAAAACUUUCAACAACGGAUCUCUUGGUUCCGGCAUCGAUGAAGAACGCAGCGAAAUGCGAUACGUAAUGUGAAUUGCAAAUUCAGUGAAUCAUCGAGUCUUUGAACGCACAUUGCGCCCCCUGGUAUUCCGGGGGGCAUGCCUGUCCGAGCGUCAUUUCUGCCCUCAAGCACGGCUUGUGUGUUGGGCCCCGUCCUCCGAUCCCGGGGGACGGGCCCGAAAGGCAGCGGCGGCACCGCGUCCGGUCCUCGAGCGUAUGGGGCUUUGUCACCCGCUCUGUAGGCCCGGCCGGCGCUUGCCGAUCAACCCAAAUUUUUAUCCAGGUUGACCUCGGAUCAGGUAGGGAUACCCGCUGAACUUAAGCAUAUCAAUAACGGGGGA
rnacentral:rRNA from 1 species